GACGAACGCUGGCGGCGUGCUUAACACAUGCAAGUCGAACGCUGAAGCUUGGUGCUUGCCCUGGGUGGAUGAGUGGCGAACGGGUGAGUAAUACGUGAGUAACCUGCCCUUGACUCUGGGAUAAGCCUGGGAAACUGGGUCUAAUACUGGAUACGACAUGUCACCGCAUGGUGGCGUGUGGAAAGGGUUUUACUGGUUUUGGAUGGGCUCACGGCCUAUCAGCUUGUUGGUGGGGUAAUGGCUCACCAAGGCGACGACGGGUAGCCGGCCUGAGAGGGUGACCGGCCACACUGGGACUGAGACACGGCCCAGACUCCUACGGGAGGCAGCAGUGGGGAAUAUUGCACAAUGGGCGAAAGCCUGAUGCAGCGACGCCGCGUGAGGGAUGACGGCCUUCGGGUUGUAAACCUCUUUCAGCACGGAAGAAGCGAAAGUGACGGUACGUGCAGAAGAAGCGCCGGCUAACUACGUG
rnacentral:rRNA from 1 species